AGAGUUUGAUCCUGGCUCAGGAUGAACGCUGGCUACAGGCUUAACACAUGCAAGUCGGGCGAAGUGCUUUCGGGCACUUAGCGGCAAACGGGUGAGUAACACGUAUCCAACCUUUCCUUUACUCGGGGAUAGCCUUUAGAAAUGAAGAGUAAUACCCGAUGUGGUGUACAGUCCGCAUGUUUUGCACACCAAAGAUUCAUCGGUAAAGGGUGGGGAUGCGCUCCAUUAGGUAGUAGGCGGGGUAACGGCCCACCUAGCCCAUGAUGGAUAGGGGUUCUGAGAGGAAGGUCCCCCACAUUGGAACUGCGACACGGUCCAAACUCCUACGGGAGGCAGCAGUGAGGAAUAUUGGUCAAUGGGCGUAAGCCUGAACCAGCCAAGUAGCGUGCAGGAUGACGGCCCUAUGGGUUGUAAACUGCUUUUAACCGGGAAUAACGUCACGGACGUGUCCGUGAGUGCAUGUACCGGUUGAAUAAGGAUCGGCUAACUCCGUGCCAGCAGCCGCGGUAAUACGGAGGAUCCGAGCGUUAUCCGGAUUUAUUGGGUUUAAAGGGAGCGUAGGCGGAGGAUCAAGUCAGCUGUGAAAUGUAGUCGCUCAACGUCUGCACUGCAGUUGAAACUGGUCCCCUUGAGUGCGUAAGAGGCAGGCGGAAUUCGUCGUGUAGCGGUGAAAUGCUUAGAUAUUAGGAGGAACACCGGUGGCGAAGGCGGCUUUCUGGACUGUAACUGACGCUGAGGCACGAAAGCGUGGGGAGCAAACAGGAUUAGAUACCCUGGUAGUCCACGCUGUAAACGAUGAAUACUAGGUGUAGGGGGUAUCAACUCCCUCUGUGCCGCAGCAAACGCAAUAAGUAUUCCGCCUGGGGAGUACGGCCGCAAGGUUGAAACUCAAAGGAAUUGACGGGGGCCCGCACAAGCAGCGGAGCAUGUGGUUUAAUUCGGUGCAACGCGAGGAACCUUACCUGGAUUUGACAUCGUCGGCAAGGCCCUAUGAAAGUAGGGCGGAGGUUACCCGAUAGACAGGUGCUGCAUGGCUGUCGUCAGUUCGUGCCGUGAGGUGUUUGGUUAAGUCCACCAACGAACGCAACCCCUUUGGUAUGUUGCCAUCAGGUAAUGCUGGGAACUCGUACCAUACUGCCUGUUUACGCAGGAGGAAGGUGGGGAUGACGUCAAGUCAGUAUGGCCCUUACAUCCAGGGCUGCACACGUGCUACAAUGGCCGGCACAGAGGGCAGCCACGCGGCGACGCGGAGCGAAUCCCGAAAGCCGGUCUCAGUCCGGAUCGGAGUCUGCAACCCGACUCCGUGAAGCUGGAAUCGCUAGUAAUCGCGCAUCAGCCAUGGCGCGGUGAAUACGUUCCCGGGCCUUGCACUCACCGCCCGUCAAG
rnacentral:rRNA from 1 species